AUUGAACGCUGGUGGCAUGCCUUACACAUGCAAGUCGAACGGCAGCACGGGAGCAAUCCUGGUGGCGAGUGGCGAACGGGUGAGUAAAGUAUCGGAACGUGCCCAGUCGUGGGGGAUAACGUAGCGAAAGUUACGCUAAUUCCGCAUACGAUCUAUGGAUGAAAGCGGGGGAUCGCAAGACCUCGCGCGAUUGGAGCGGCCGAUGUCAGAUUAGGUAGUUGGUGGGGUAAAGGCUAACCAAGCCGACGAUCUGUAGCUGGUCUGAGAGGACGACCAGCCACACGGGGACUGAGACACGGCCCAGACUCCUACGGGAGUCAGCAGUGGGGAAUUUUGGACAAUGGGCGAAAGCCUGAUCCAGCCAUGCCGCGUGCAGGAUGAAGGCCUUCGGGUUGUAAACUGCUUUUGUACGGAACGAAAAGGUUUGGCCUAAUAAGCUGAGCUCAUGACGGUACCGUAAGAAUAAGCACCGGCUAACUACGUGCCAGCCGCCGCGGUAA
rnacentral:rRNA from 1 species